rnacentral:lncRNA from 1 species
AAUAACAAAUAAAAAAAGAAAAUCACAUUAUCCCAUUUUAUAGCUAUGAAAAUGCUUUCACUCCCACAAACCAGUUACUGGAAGGAAACUCCAUUCUCUUGCAAAAAUGCUCCAUUUCCAUACCUUAACACAACAACUAAAUAUUACAAUACUCGAACUCCAACAUUACCCAUUUCUUUAUCUUUAAUUUGGUCAUCACGCAAAAAACAAACCACCAACUCCAACGCUCACACUCUGCUUAGAGCUUCUUUCUCAGAUUCUGACUCUGUCCAGAAACAAGAAGAAGAACAAGUAGAAGAAGAAGAGUAUCAAGUACUGUCAGCAGUUAGAAGCAUGUACAAUGAUAUUGUAAUCGUAGAUACUGCAAAAUCUAGGGUGUUGCUUCUUGACUCUACUCGUAUGUGUUUUAUCUAAUUAAUUUUGUUUCUGGGUUCAGUUAAUUAUUAAUUUUUGUUGUCAUUUACAUUUUGUUGUUUUUUAUAUGUGAUAAUUAUGAUUUAUGCAGAUAAUGUUCAUAGCAUUCUUAAUAAGGGUCAGAAAUGGACUGGGUCUUAUUGGGUAUGUGCUAGUAUGUAAAACUCGACUCGAAGAAUUGCUGGAGACAGGCACUUGCUGCGGCCAUUCAUAGAUUCCAUUAACCGGUUUCCCUUCCACCAAUCGCACCCCCGCGGUUUAAUGUAAAUAUUUGUCACAAAUGUACGUACAUGCAUAGUUAAUUUGAUUGUACAUAUUCAAAUUUGAAACUUUUUACUCGUAGAAAAUCAACACCACUCAAGUAAAACUAGAGGGUGCCUAGAUGUAUUAUUUAUUUUAGUAAAUUUGAUGGUGAUACUAGUUGUUGGAACUCUAGACUUUUCAGCUUUAGCCUGUGUUUUUUACAGUAUUUAGUAACAUCACAUGUAUUUGAACUAGCUUAUUUAAACUAGUUUAAGGUAGGUUUUAUAAAAGGUCAAUUAACCCAUAUAAUCUUAGUUUUUUACAUUUUACGAAAAGCUAUUAGUUAUUCAAACAGCAAAAAUACUGUUAAAACAGAUUAGAAUAACUACGCCGAACAGACCCUUAGCUACACAACUUGAAUAUCAAUGAAUUAAAGUUAGACAAGUAAACUAAGAAUUCAAAACCCUAGCUAAUGGAUCACAUCAUAACCAAUUAACAAUUAAUAGCUAAAUUGAGUAAAUAAAUACCUCUAUAGGAGAAAAUUUCUGGUGGAAAAAAUCUUUUCGAUUACUAUCAUCAGCAAAGGCCCUGCAAACUUGAGCAUCAAUCAAGGAACGUCUGAGAACAUCCCAAUUUUUUCCCUUAACAAAAUGAUUCUGCAACCAAUGUGAAUAAUCUCCGAGUCUAUACUCCUUAAACCCUUUGCCAGACACAAUUUGACCGGCACGUUCAUUAGUAACAACAAAAACAAAAAUUGUGAAAAACAAAAGUCCAAUGAUCAUCAAAAUCAAGAUAAUUAGAUAAAUUACUAGCAAGAAAUUGUUCCUACAACAAGAACCAGCUAACCCUAGCAAGGAAACUAUAAAUACAAUGCUUCCAAGUAUAAAAAGAACAUUCUGCAAAGAUUGUCGGGAUAGAGCGGUUGCCACGGUGGUGUUGGCGGUGGAAACAGCCUUCACGUGAACAUAUAAUCCUCCAGCAAUUAUGGAUAGGCCAACCACGAGGAAGAUGAUGUUUAGGGUUGCAAUUACAAUGUUGCUUACACGAGCCAUGGUUAGUUUUGAUGGCGAGUUGCAAAUUGUUAAGGGGUGAAUGAGAAUUCUGUAUAUGGAUUCGUGUUAAUGGCGGUUUGUGUACCCUAAAGAGCGGAGGAGAACUCAAGUCUGUCUUUUCUGUAUAUUUUUAAAGAAAGAGUAGGGAUUUAGUGUCUUACAUAACAAGAAAGGUUUCUAUAUAUGUUAAAUUGAAUUAAUGUUUACAAUAUACAGCAGAGUAUAUAUACAAGUUAUGGAUUAGAAUACACUCCUAUAUUUACGUAACAUAAAUCUAUCUACACAACAGAAUUUGAUAGAUUCUGUUUAACACCAGUAUUCUGUUUUAACUAGCUGGAACUUCAUCCUUACCCAAUAGAUCAAAACUCAUAGUUAGCUUUUAGGAUGACAUGCUAGCUAUGAGUAGUGGAAUGUAGGAUACGGAAAUUAAUCGAAUCAUAUAUCGAAAAUGGGAAAACUAAUCAUCAUAAACUCCUUUUGGUGGAAUGGCUUGGAGAGUUGAAAGAAUUUCAGAGUUAAUCGUGCUUGCUUAACGGAAAUCGUAAGAUGGAUGACCUCUUGGGAAGUUUCUCAUUUCAUCUGUAGGACAAAAUUGUGUAGGUCUUGCCAAUCCAGUAUGGGAUGGAAUUGGCUUGAUCCAAAGCAGAUAAUUCCUUUGAUAGUUAGAGUCGGGCGUGAUAAUAUCCUUACACUAGAGAUGUAAGGGUGAUAGCGGGUCAGAUACUGGUCAAAAAUAGGCUAUCCAAACCCGAAUUCGAUUAGAGAUUUUGGUACCCAAACUGUUUUGGAAGUUUACUUUUAUUACCUGAAUCCAUUUAAACCCAAUUGCAAUUAUCUGGUUAUCCAUUUAACACUAAAAAAAAUAUUUUGUUUUUAAUUUUUUUAAAAAAACGUAAACGUCAUAAAACUAUUUUUUAAUUUAUACAAAUUUUGAUUUAUACAAAAAUAUGAUAUUUUUUGCUAAGCUAAGUAUAGUUAUAGUAUUAACCAUAAUUAGGGGGUAAAACUAGAAUACAGAUUUAAAAAUUUAUGUACUAAUACAGAAUUUAUUUUCACAGUUAAACUUAAACUAGUUAGAUAUAAACCGUUAGAUUUAAAAUUGAUCAAAUGAUUUAUUACCUAUAAAAUGGAUUAUCAAAAGUAGACCAUUUAGUUUUUUAUUAUUCAAAUAAAAAAAAAUAACAUUUUCAAGAUAACUACAAUUAUAUAAAACAAAAAAUUCAAAGAUAAAUAGUUGUCUAAUACUUCAAAUUCAUUUAUUCAAAAUAAAUAAAAUUUUUAUUUUCUUAUUGUUAAAAACGUUUAUCAUGUAUCAUGUAAUUUAAAUAAUAUCAUAUAUACAUGACAUCUCAUUAUGUUUUAAUAUAAUAUUUUUUAAUUAAAAAUUAAAUUAUAUAACUCCAAUACUUGACUUAUAAAAUGGACCCUUAUCAAAUUAUAUAAAUUUUUUUAAGUAUUCAGAAAAGGGUAUUCGAAUUUGAACCUAUUAUCAAACCGUAUAUAUACUUACCACUAUGUUAUGUCUUGGUGUGCUAAAUUAUAUAAAUCAAACUAUAUAAAUUGUACCUUGUUACUUCUAAUUUGUAGUUUAACUAAUCAUAAUUGUUAUCUUAUAUUUAUUUACAUUUUUUUAAAAAAAUAAUCCAUAUUGUUUAUUUAGUCUUAAAAAUAUUUAUUUAGUUUUUGAAAAUAUGAAAUUAUAUAUAUUCGUAUAUAUAAAAUAAUUAUUUUAAAAUUAAUUAAUCUUCAAAUUUCAACUUGAUCAAAUUUAUUUUCAUUGUAAAUUCUAUUUUAUAUUUUUCAAAAAUGAACUUUUACAUACUCAUAUAGUUUUUUAAAUAAAAUUUAUUUGGUUUAGAAUUCACAUAAUGUAAAAAUUCAUACAUCAUGAAUUUAUAACCUUCAUUUGUAAUUAAUAUAUUUUUAUAAGUUUUUUAAUUAAAAGAAAUUUAUGCCUAUAAUAAUUUAUCUAUUUUUUAUAUAUACAAAACUACUCUUGUAUGAUAUUUUAUAUACACAAUCCCAAUGAUAAAUAGCAAUUUUAUUUUUAAAAAUUCGUAACACUAGAAAUGAAAAUUUUUAUGUAAAUAAAAUUUGAAUUCUAAUAUUUUUUUCUAGAUAAUUUUAUAUUUAUCAUUAUAUUUUAUAUAAUACGUUAUAUAAAUAUGGAAAAAAAAGAUAAAGUUAUAAAAAAAUAUAAAUAAAAAACAGAGCAACGGGUAUCUAUAUCAAUUAAUGAGCAUUCUGUACCAAUACAAAAUAAUUACUAUCUGCACGGUAGUAAAAAUUUAUAAUUAAAAAGAUAGACCUUUUGUUUAUUUUUAUAAAAAAUAUUAAUUAAAUGGGUAAUAGGUAGUUAGUAUCCAUCCCUUCAAUCCGAACGUGACACAGACAUUAAAAUUAUUACUUGAAUCCGUUCUGAACUCUUAUAAUCAGCGCCUGAACUCAUCAAAAUUGGAUCGGAAGGAUCGAAUACUAGAUGGAUCGGAUAAAAUUGCGAUCACCAAAGAGAUGGGACUGUAACUGUAUUUUCCCAAGUGAACUGCCUAAACUAGUACUAUAUUGUAAAGAUUGAUUGCACUGAAUAAUUUCCCUUUACAAAAGCUGCAUUUCAUUUUCUUUCUCAAUAGCCAAAAACCGACAAAUACAAUAACAAAUAAAAAAAGAAAAUCACAUUAUCCCAUUUUAUAGCUAUGAAAAUGCUUUCACUCCCACAAACCAGUUACUGGAAGGAAACUCCAUUCUCUUGCAAAAAUGCUCCAUUUCCAUACCUUAACACAACAACUAAAUAUUACAAUACUCGAACUCCAACAUUACCCAUUUCUUUAUCUUUAAUUUGGUCAUCACGCAAAAAACAAACCACCAACUCCAACGCUCACACUCUGCUUAGAGCUU